GCCUUUGUGCAUUUGUACGCCCGUUUCGCACGGCCAUCUUGAACUCAGAAUAAACCAUUAUCAGUUUAAAUCCCUUAGGUAAUAGUGUAAUAAGAUUUAUGCGGCUCAUGUUCAAACAUUACAAUAAUUUACCUCAUCAUUCCCAUCUUUAUAGUCUUCUGUAACUGGCUCAUCUGUGUCUGGUUUGUGUGCCCCUUCUUUAGGAAGUGGGAUUUUAUCACCAAUGCUCUGCUCAGCAGCGACUGAUUGCGCAUUUGCGCAAAACAACGCGCAAGCGAAAAGCGUUGCGACUGUCAGGGAUCUCAUGACUGCUCUUGAGACACCCAGACAACAAUGUGAAAAUUUGCC